rnacentral:rRNA from 1 species
GGCCUUGACAUACUAAGAACUUUCCAGAGAUGGAUUGGUGCCUUCGGGAACUUAGAUACAGGUGCUGCAUGGCUGUCGUCAGCUCGUGUCGUGAGAUGUUGGGUUAAGUCCCGNAACGAGCGCAACCCUUUUCCUAUUUGCCAGCGGGUCAUGCCGGGAACUUUAAGGAUACUGCCAGUGACAAACUGGAGGAAGGCGGGGACGACGUCAAGUCAUCAUGGCCCUUACGGCCAGGGCUACACACGUGCUACAAUGGUCGGUACAAAGGGUUGCUACCUCGCGAGAGGAUGCUAAUCUCAAAAAGCCGAUCGUAGUCCGGAUCGCAGUCUGCAACUCGACUGCGUGAAGUCGGAAUCGCUAGUAAUCGCGGAUCAGAAUGCCGCGGUGAAUACGUUCCCGGGCCUCGUACACACCGCCCGUCACACCAUGGGAGUUUGUUGCACCAGAAGUAGGUAGUCUAACCGCAAGGAGGACGCUUACCACGGUGUGGCCGAUGACUGGGGUGAAGUCGUAACAAGGUAAGCGUAGAUGA